rnacentral:lncRNA from 1 species
GCCGGGCGCGGUGGCUCACGCCUGUAAUCCCAGCACUUUGGGAGGCCGAGGCGGGUGGAUCACGAGGUCAGGAGAUCGAGACCAUCCUGGCUAACACGGUGAAACCCUGUCUCUACUAAAAAUACAAAAAAAUUAGCCAGGCGUGGUGGCGGGCACCUGUAGUUCCAGCUACUUGGGAGGCUGAGGCAGGAGAAUGGCGUGAACCCAGGAGGCGGAGCCUGCAGUGAGCCGAGAUCGUGCCACUGCACUCCAGCCUGGGCGUCAGAGUGAGACUCCAUCUCAAAAAAAAAAAAAAAAAAAGAAAAAGAAAAGGAAGAGAAGAAGAAGAUAAAUCACUAUCUCUUUCUACUGUGCUUACCCUAAUGGAUUUUUUAUAUAGUCUCACUUUCUAAUUCAUAAUCUGAUCUCUAGUUUCAUCAGAGCACCUUAGUUUUUAAGUAAAGGCUCUUCUUCUAUUAACCACUUCUAAAAUGACAAAUCGGGCUUAUUCUAUGCAGUUCAAAAAACAGAACAAGGCUAAGAGGUGAAGUUAUAGAAAAGACAUUUUCACUCACAGAAGGAAAAAUUUGGACACAGCCAGAGUAGUUAAAACACAAAACAAGAAACCAGAAUGGACAAGGUUGAAAAGUAGUAAACUUUAAGUCAUUUAGUAGCACUUAAGCAGAUGACAACUAUACCUAUUC